CCGUGCGGCGGCGUCCCUGCAGCCAAGUCUUGCCGGAGGACGUGCCGUGGGAGCCCGUGUCUGGCGGACUGGAGCAUUAAGGAGUAAAGUUGCUGCUUUAAAGACAUCAUCUUCUGGCUUCCAUUAAGUCCAGGACAUGUGCUGUAUUCCUGUCUUUGUUCCUCCAUAAGUGAUGUGUGUCUGUCUUCAGAAGCACCCUCUGAGUAACAGUGAUUGGAAGUAAAGCAUCUGUCUCCAGAAUGUCUUCAGAAAAUAAAGAGCAGCAUAAUCUUUCACCAAGGGACUUACCUGAAGAAGCCUAUGGCUUCCCACCUGAGCUCCCCCUGGGGGCUCAAAGAGGAUCAAGCACUGACUUAAGGCAGUUUGAGCCCAGUGAUCGGAGAAGAGCUUUUCGUAGGAUCCACAUGGAACUCCAUGAGAAACCAG
rnacentral:lncRNA from 1 species